CUAGUAACGGCGAGUGAAGCGGCAACAGCUCAAAUUUGAAAUCUGGCCCCCGGGUCCGAGUUGUAAUUUGUAGAGGAUGCUUUUGGUGCGGUACCUUCCGAGUUCCCUGGAACGGGACGCCAUAGAGGGUGAGAGCCCCGUCUGGUUGGACGCCAAUCCUUUGUAAAGCUCCUUCAACGAGUCGAGUAGUUUGGGAAUGCUGCUCUAAAUGGGAGGUAUAUGUCUUCUAAAGCUAAAUAUUGGCCAGAGACCGAUAGCGCACAAGUAGAGUGAUCGAAAGAUGAAAAGCACUUUGAAAAGAGAGUUAAAAAGUACGUGAAAUUGUUGAAAGGGAAGCGCUCAUGACCAGACUUGGGCUCGGUUGAUCAUCCAGGGUUCUCCCUGGUGCACUCUCCCGGCCCAGGCCAGCAUCAGUUCGCCGCGGGGGACAAAGGCGUCGGGAAUGUGGCUCCCUCGGGAGUGUUAUAGCCCGUCGUGCAAUACCCUGUGGUGGACUGAGGUUCGCGCAUUCGCAAGGAU
rnacentral:rRNA from 1 species